GCCUCCACUUACAGGCAGGGGCACAAGCCCAUAUGCAAGUCAAAAGACGUGCGCGUUUCUCAGCGGGCUCCCCAUUGCAAAGAUGGUGUUUCUGUGUUUCUUGUGACCUUAUUUGUAAACUGCCUACAAUUAACUUCGCAAGGAAAGGUGCUCCGUUUUCCAGUCAAACAGGUACUUUGGGUAGAAUCACACCGCGUUUAUCUCCAUUCACCGGAACGAGCUGACGCGGCUCCACACCUGUGCUGGACCCUAGUGCACGCAGCCACAGUUAUUUUUCCUGCGGACGCCGAAGUGCCCAGGUGCCCACUACUUAGGAGCGGACUGCGCUUGGCAGCGGCCAGGGGCCUUUCCGGGAGUCGCCGGGUGUCACGUCUCCUGAAGGGCGCCCAGCCCAGGGUGACACGAGAGGGGCGUGCUGGAGGACAGGCUCUAGCCCACGCCAGGUCCCACGCAACCCUCCGAGGCAGCUGUCGCCAGGUGGUACCUGCCUCUAGCCAAUCGCCAUGGCGGUUACAUUUAACGCGGCUGCGGCAGCCAAUCCGAGGCCACGUCUCAGCCUGCGCCCCGCCCCCUCCCCCGCCCCGCGCCGCGCUGGGUCCCGGGCGGCGGGCGGCUGCGCACACCCGGAGCGCACCCGGCCGCGCGGUCCUCGGGGCGGAGGGGCUGCUAACCGCGGCGCGGGGCGGGCGGGCCGCUACUGCGCAGGCGCCGCAGGAAGGUCUCGGCUCGCGCGUGUCCCUUGGGGUCGGCUGGCCCCGCGGCCCACGAGCGCCGAGGUCCGCGCCGGCCGCAGCUGAAAGCCAGAAAGCGAAGAUGACCCUUUAGGUGCUUUUGAUUGGCUGGACAGCGCGCGAAGCACAUGCUGCCCCUCUCGGCGUAGCUACCCCGUGGGGUAAGAGUGUCCCCAUUCUGCAGAUGCGGAAACUGAGGCUCAGACAGGUAACGUCGCACACGGUACGGCUGCAGACAGGCUUGACCAGGUCUGACCCCGCAGGGCGGUUGCCGUUGCCCAUCCACCAGGUGAUCUGCUGGGUGGGACCUCAGCCUGAAAACUUGCCAGUGUCCUAGGCAGGCAGAUGCUCCGUUGGUGAAUGUUACGGUUUUCUUUUGUUUCCACCCCCCCCCCCCCCAAAAAAAAAGUGGAGGGAAGAAAAAAAAAUAAAACUGCCCGCCCCGCUCGCCCCCAAGGCGUUCCAGGCCCUUUCAAGGCAGUGAAGCUCAUUUGCAAGCAAAGAGGAGAUAUUUUCUGUAGUUUAGAUUAGCUACUGAAUAGAACUUGGGAGAAAUGUCGGUGACGACACAAGCACCGUGACGGAUUAUUUUACUCCGUAGGAAGGAAGUGUAGCUGUUCUGGAGAUACUAGAGAAUUUUGUGUGCCCUGAAAAUGGCAGAAUUAUUUAGAAUCCUAGAAUUUUUAAGAUUGAGAAAGUCCUGCAGAGGGUAGUUUGUUUUUUUUUUUUUCCUUAGAACGCUAAGAAAAUAAUAACCUAGAGGGAACCACCAAAGUUUCCCAUGUCCAUAGACAAUGCUAUUUUAUUUUAAAGCAGUAUAAAAAGUCUUUAGAAUAGGGCUUUCGUAUUAUAAAGCUGAUGCUGACAGUGUCUUUCACCAUUUCCUGUAACCGCUCUAUUCUCACCACUUAACUUGGGCUGAGAAUGCCGGUAGGGAUUGCCUGACAUGCAUUCCAUCCAGGUAAAAAAGUCAUCCCACGGGAGAUCCAGCACAUUUCACCUCCUGAACUAAAGAUGACUACCUACUAGUUCUAGUUACUGUUGGGAUGUUUGGGUAUAGUCCAGAUGAGUCUGCUUUUUUUUUUUUUUCUUCCCUCCACUAUUUUUUUUUUUUUUAAUUACAGAGUUUUUCUCAAAGUUUAGUGAUCUAACAGUGAUUUUGAUCCCUUGAAAACUACUUGAGAACGUUCCACUGGCAUUUUGUUUAUAGAUUAACACCUGCUGUUAGAAUGAAAAUGCAGUAGACCUAGAUAGAGGCACUGCUGAUGAACACGUUCUGGCAGGAAAAGUCCUGGUAAUCAUUUGGAAUUUAUGACUAGUCUUGUUAGCUUGGUGUCACUAGACUUGUAGACUUGUUGAGGGCAUGAAUUAGUAAGUGCAUAGUAAAGCUACUAAAUUGCUCUCUGAGCUUGGCCAGUCACCGGACUUCGGCUCUAUCACAAGUAAGAAAAAAAGCAUUGAGCUAAAUUACUUCUAAUUAUUUUAGGGUUGCACAGUUGUAUUAUUCUGCCUGUGGCAGUACAGACUUUUUCCUAACCUAAUGGCUUUGUAACUAGAAUGGAUAAAAAGAAACUAAAUUUGAGGGCCUGUUCUAGAACAGAAUAUGCCUCCCCAUUUCACAAACGCCAAAACUGAGUCUGGGGAAGUUAGAUUUGCUCACAGUUGUGCAUCUAGUAAAUGUGAGCUCAAGUUACAGGAUCAUUCUGAUUUCAGAGCCUAUAAUCUUUCUUUUUUUUUUUUUUAAGAUUUUAUUUAUUUAUCCGUGAGAGACACAAAGGGAGAGAGAGAGAGAGAGGCAGAGACACAGGCAGAGGGAGAAGCAGUCUCCAUGCAGAGAGCCCGACAUGAGACUCGAUCCUGGGACCCCAGGAUCACACCCUGGGCUGAAGGCGGCGCUAAGCCGCUGAACCAUCUGGGGCUGCCCCAAUCUUUCCUCUCUGCUUCUAAGCCUGGGGACAAGGAUCCUAACAGUGUGCUAAUGUAUUCCUGAACCCCAGAAUAAAUAGCACAUGUACUUUGAGCAUCAUUUUUUUUUUCCUUCAAGAUUUAGGGAAGAAGGAUUUUAUAUGUAUUUUGAGAGAGGUCAAAGGUUUUUAUUUUGCUGUUGUUUUUGCAUUUGGAAGGUGUUAUAAAACAUUUUCAUGUUAAAAAACCCAAGUCUGUUAUGGAGUACAAAUUUCACAUAAUUUGAGGCAUAAAAUGAGACCACAAAGAUGUUUACUGUUUUUUGGCAGGGCAUUUCAGAUGCUUUUUAAAAAGGAUUACAAUUUCAUUCCCUCUUUUUUUGUUGUUAAUAUAAUAGUUUUAUUGAGAUAUAAUUCACACACUAUCCACUUUAUUUGAAGUGUACAGUUUAAUGGAGUCGUGGGAUCAUCACCACAGUCAAUAUGAGAACAUGUCAUCACCUCAAAAAGACACCUCAUACCAUUGUAAUUUACUCCCCAUUUCUCCCCAACCCCUUGCCACAAACACUAUCAAUGUACUUCCAUCUCUAAUAGAUUUGCCUGACUUAGGCAUUUCAUCUAAAGAGUCAUAUAUUAAGAGAUCUUUUAUGAUUGCCUUCUUUCCCUUAGUGUGUCAAGGUUUAUCCACUUGUAGUGUAUGUUAGCACUUCCUUCCUUUUUAUUGUCAAAUAAUAUUUCAUGGUAUGGAUAGACCACAUUUUAUUAUCCAUUUAUCAGGACGCCCGAUUGGCUUAGCAGUUGGACAUCUGCCUCCGGCUCAGGGAGUGAUCCCGGGAUCCAGGAUCAAGUCCCACAUCAGGCUCCUUGCAGGGAACCUGCUUCUCCCUCUGUCUGUGUCUCUGCCUCUCUCUCUCUCUCUCUCUCUGUCGCUCAUGAAUAAAUAAAUAAAAUCUUAAAAAAAAGUUAUGUAUCCAUUUAUCAUCACCUGAUGGCCUAUUUGAGUUGUUUCCACUUCUUGGCCAUUAAAGAUAAUGCUGUUGUGAACAUUUAUGUUUUAGUGUGAGCAUCUGUUUUAAUUUCUUUAGGGCGUAUACUGGAUAAUAUGGUGACUCUGGUUAAAGAACUGCCACAGUGUUUUCCAGGUGGCUCUCUCACUUUAUGUUCUCACCAGCACUGUAUAAAAGUUCCAGUUUCUUUGUAUCCUUACUAACUCUUGUUCUGUGUCUUUUUGAUUCUCUCCAUCCUAGUGGGUCUGAAAUGCUAUUUCAUUGUGGUUUUGAUUUGCAUUUCCCUGAUGACUAAUGAUGUUGAACAUCAUUUCAUGUGCUUAUUUGCCACCUGUAUAUCUUUGGAAAAAUAUCUUUGAGAUCCUUUGCUCAUUUUUUAAUUGGAUUAUUUGACUUUAUUUUUAAGUUAUAAUAUUUACAUAUUCUAAGUACAGAUCACUUAGAGAUGAUUUGCAAAUAUUUUCUCCCAUUCUGUGGGUUGUCUUUUCUCUUCAUGGUAUUCCUUAGAGCACAAAAGUCAAGUCUUAUUUAUUUAUUUAUUUAUUUAUUUAUCACUUGUUCUUUUGGUGUUGUACCUAAGAAGGUUUUGCCUAACUCAAGGUCAUGAAGAUAUACUUCUGUAUUUUCUUUUAAGAGUUUUAUAGUUUUAGCUCUAAAUUUUGGUCCAUGAACCAUUUAUGGUUAAUUUUGGUGUAUAGGAUAAGAUGAGGGUU
rnacentral:lncRNA from 1 species